rnacentral:tRNA from 1 species
UAUUCCUUAGUGUAUGGUGCACCAAAGUUUUUGAUACUUUAAGGGAUAGUUCAAAUCUAUUAGGAAUAA